ACCUGAAAUCAAGCAAGAUCACCCGCUGAACUUAAGCAUAUCAGUAAGCGGAGGAAAAGAAACUAACAAGGAUUGCCUUAGUAGUGGCGAAUGAACCGGCAAUAGCUCAAAGUGUAAAUCUGAGGCAUCAAGUCUUAGAAUUGUAAUCUAUAGGCCUUUUAGGGAAGCCAUGGUUCUAGCAUAAGUUCCCUGAAAAGGGAUGCCAAAGAGGGUAAAAGCCCCGUAUUUGGUUAGGACUGGGUGUACCGAAGGGUUCCAAGAGUCGGGUUGUUUGGGAUUGCAGCCUAAAAUGGGAGAUAAACUUCUUCUAAAGCUAAAUAUUUAUGGGAAACCGAUAGCAAACAAGUACUACGAAGGAAAGAUGAAAAGAACUUUGAAAAGAGGGUUAAAAGACUUGAAAUCGUUGAGGAGAAAAGCGGUAGAAGAGAAAUGAUUUCAUUCAGGAGUAUGUAGUUUUGUUGGUGUCUUCUGCGGUAAUGGUACUUCAUAGGGCCUAGCUGUAGACCGGCGUCGCAUUGCUGCUUUUUCUGGGUGAAGUGCAAAAUGAGGUCUCGCUUGCGGAAACGUCUCUAGGGAGGACUCUGGCCUUGAUGCUAGAAGCCCUGGUCUCCAA
rnacentral:rRNA from 1 species